rnacentral:lncRNA from 1 species
CCCGCUCCGGGGCUGUGGGUGGAGCUGCCUGCCAGUCCUGUGCCGCGUUCCCGCACUCUUCAGACCUUGGGUGCAGAGAAAAGUCAGUGGGUUCAGCCUUGCCAGAUAAAAAGUAAUCAAAGGUAAAAAUGAAUCAAGAUUACUUUUGCAUAAACACGUCUUCUUUAAAUCAACCUGAUCUCUCUUUGAAACGUAAUAUCUCAUAUGAAUUUAAACAUCUUUUUUCUUGCAUUCUUCUUUUCAUAAACAAAGGAGUUUUUAAAAAGUUUCUAGUAGCAAUUCUUUGAUAUAUAGGGUCUAUUCUCUUCAAAAAUUAAAGUACAUAAAUAAAUUACAAAUUUAGGUUAUAAAUUUAAUAAAUUU